GUAAGGAAUAUUGGUCAAUGGACGAAAGUCUGAACCAGCCAUGCCGCGUGGAGGAUGAAGGUCCUCUGGAUUGUAAACUUCUUUUAUAUGGGACGAAAAUGGGGCUUUCUAGCUCAACUGACGGUACCAUAUGAAUAAGCACCGGCUAACUCCGUGCCAGCAGCCGCGGUAAUACGGAGGGUGCAAGCGUUAUCCGGAUUAACUGGGUUUAAAGGGUGCGUAGGUGGAUUGGUAAGUCAGAGGUGAAAUCUCCGGGCUCAACUCGGAAACUGCCUUUGAUACUAUCAAUCUUGAAUAUUGUGGAGGUUAGCGGAAUAUGUCAUGUAGCGGUGAAAUGCUUAGAUAUGACAUAGAACACCAAUUGCGAAGGCAGCUGGCUACACAUAUAUUGACACUGAGGCACGAAAGCGUGGGGAUCAAACAGGAUUAGAAACCCCUGUAGUCC
rnacentral:rRNA from 1 species